GAAAAGAAAGCAAAAGCGAUUCCCCAAGUAACGGCGAGUGAACAGGGAUAAGCCUAGCGCUAAGGCUUAAUGUGGUUGUCGCAAGGCAAUCGUCACACAAACAUUUAAGCGGUGCAGCGUUACAAACCUUGGUGUUUAGUAGUGUCGAUGUAGUUUGUGGCUCACGCCAUAGACUGCUUUCGGCCUAGCGUACAAGUCCCAUUGACUUGGGCUUAUUCUUAAUCGAGAUGUCUACGGGUUCGGAGUAAUUUGGAUCCGUGGAUGAGCCAUAGAGGGUGAAAGUCCCUUAAUGCGCAGGUAUUGACACUACGAACCGGGGCAGUGGCGUCUGGUAAAACAGGCGUUGCGAUUUGUUAGAGUCGGGUUGCUUGAGAGUGCAACCUAAAGAGCGAGGUAAACUGCUCGUAAGGCUAUUUAAAUACGGCUACGACACCGAUAGCAAACAAGUACCGUGAGGGAAAGUUGCAAAGUACUUUGAAGAGAGAGUUAAACAGGGCGUGAAACCGCUAGCUGGAAAACGAGUGGAGCCACGAAGUCGUUUCGUAGAAUACGAGGCGCAAAUUCAGCCAAGAUUAGCAAUAGUUUUGGCGUAUUUUUGCUUGUCUCGCUACUGUAAGCGUACACUGCAACCAAUUAGACGGCUAAUCGUGGACACAGUUUGCGUGCUUACAGGGAAACUUGUUGCGCGUAAGCGAAAUUAUUUGUGCACUUUGCUGUAGGUAGUCUGGUAUAGUCUCUUGUAGGUUAUAUUGGGCGUAUGACAGCAGAUGCGUGAACUACGAUUAGGUACUGAUUGGCAAAUUGAAAAUCGAAUCGCAAGAUUCGUGUGUUCAUAGAAAGCGUCUGGCCUCGUAAUUGGGUACAAUUGUACGCCGCCAGUAUUUUCAAGCUUGGUAUUUCGCAUUCUGGCGCGUGUAUUGUCAGCGGGCUUGCUCGUUGAUAUAUGCGUUGUUCCAUGUCUAAGCGGGUAUCAACUUUGCUGGCAGUUUGAUGCAAUUGCUACGAUAGCACCGAAUGCGAGAGUCAGUCUGCAAGUAUGGCAG
rnacentral:rRNA from 1 species